UGAAGGAGCUGGGGCACUGCUCUGAGAAUAUUAGUCGAACGAAUUGACUCCAGUACUUAUUUUAUUGGUCUCUUUUGUCAAACCGCUAGGUUUCGUCUAAGUUUCGUCUAGCAAAUCUACUCGCAAAACUUUGGUCGGCUGGAAGUUAUAGUAGAAGACACUUUCCCAAGGUGCCACGCGGACAGACUGAUCUCAGAACCAUGUGAUUGGGAGGCAAACGUCUUACCAUUUAGCCACACCUAUAUGGAUGUAUGCACAAGGAUGUCUCCAGGCUCUCCAAGCAACGCACAUCUGUCCACGAAGAGAUGGAAAAAUUGCUUCUCCUGUGUAUCAAAGAGAAGAACUCGCAGGGGAUACGAUUACAGAGACCAUCAUCUGCGAGAAAACACGAACGCUGUAUGGGGAUCCCCUGAAACAGAACCCUGGAACAUCGACUGAUAAAACAUCAGCAGACGCUUUUAAGGCAAGUCGCAGCUGGUUCAAUAAUUUCAAGAAGAGGACUGAUGUUCAUAGCUUCGUCAGAUAUGGAGAAACAGCGAGUUCUGACACGAAGACAGCUGAGGAUUUCGUGUGUGAAUUCCGUCAGCUCAUUGGACCCGGGGGGUACAUCGCACAACAGGUAUUCAGCUGUGAUAAAACUGGCCUUUUUUUAGAAAAAAAUGCUCAGAAGAACCUACAUAACUGCAGAUUAGAAGAAAAUGCCAGGUCACAAGCCUAUAAAAGAUAGGCUAACUCACGCCUUUUGUGCCAAUGCGAGUGGAGACUUGAAGAUAAACCGCUCUUUGUCUACCAUUCCGAAAACCCACGAGCGUUCAAGUCGCACAAAAUCCUGAAGGAGAAGAUGCAGGUCAUGUGGAGGGCAAACUUUGAAGCUUUGGUCACCAGGCAAUUCUUCACUGAGCGGGUCAACCUUAUCUUCGGACCAGCAGUGAAAAAAAUUACCUUCCGGAGAAUAAUCUUCCUCUUAAGGUCCUCCUCACCCUCGACAGUGCUCCUGCUCACCCUCCUAACACGCACACAAAUACUACCAAACGAAUUUAAAUUCAUAAAAGUUCUACACCUUUCGCGCAACACCACCCCUACCUUGCAGCUCAUAGACCAACAGGGGAUUUCUAAUUUUAAGAAAUUUUACAACAAACACGUAUUUCGUCGGUGCUUUGAAGUCACCGAAAAUAUAAAUCUAACCCUUCGUGAGUUUUGGAAAGAGUACUACAACAUUGUUAACUGCCUGAAAAUCAUCAAUAUGGGCUGGUAGAGUGUAACGAGGAGAACGUUGAAUUAUGCAUGUUGGAAACUGUGUCCUGACUGCGUAUCCGAAAGAGACUUCGAUGAGUUUGUGUCUGCGACACGUGUAGUUGAGUUUUUAUUUAAUGACACUGCUCUGGCGCAUUUUCGUAACAUUUUGAAAGGCAGGAAAAAGCAGACUUCUCUUGAUAUGUUUCAAAUGAAACGACCUGCAAGCGUGAAAAGUGAAGAAACUAAGCGAAGUGAGAGAGAAAAUGCCACGAAUUAUUCUUCUUGAAGUCUUAAUGGAAGGAGAUUCUCCUUCCAAACAAUAAUCCUCCUCCUCCUCGCUCCAUCAUCUUUAUCACGCAUAAUUCGUCCCAUAUUUAAGGUAAUAAAAAUUUAUAAAACCAGUCUA